rnacentral:rRNA from 1 species
AAGGUGCCGCAGCAAUGCGGUCUCAGCAAAGAGUCCCUCCCGACUGUUUACCAAAAACACAGCACUUUGCCAACUCGUAAGAGGAAGUAUAAGGUGUGACGCCUGCCCGGUGCUCGAAGGUUAAGAGGAUGCGUCAGUCGCAAGAUGAAGCGUUGAAUUGAAGCCCGAGUAAACGGCGGCCGUAACUAUAACGGUCCUAAGGUAGCGAAAUUCCUUGUCGGUUAAAUACCGACCUGCAUGAAUGGCGUAACGAGAUGGGAGCUGUCUCAACCAGAGAUUCAGUGAAAUUGUAGUGGAGGUGAAAAUUCCUCCUACCCGCGGCAAGACGGAAAGACCCCGUGGACCUUUACUACAACUUAGCACUGCUAAUGGGAAUAUCAUGCGCAGGAUAGGUGGGAGGCUUUGAAGUAAGGGCUUUGGCUCUUAUGGAGCCAUCCUUGAGAUACCACCCUUGAUGUUUCUGUUAGCUAACUGGCCUGUGUUAUCCACAGGCAGGACAAUGCUUGGUGGGUAG